rnacentral:lncRNA from 1 species
UAUUAGAAAAAAAUAGUAUUUUAAUUUUGAGAUGUGAAGAUUCUCAUAAGCUCUUUAGGAAGCCCUUUUGCUUUGACUGGGUAUGACCAAGGUGUCUGGAUAAACUAUGGAUUUGCUGAGAAGAGCUAAAUGCUAAAGACUGCAACAUAUUGCUGAAGUCAGCACAUUCCUCCUUGAGAGCCAGCGCUUGGAACUUUCAUAAUUUAAAAAUGUAAAUGUUUGUGUUCCAUCCUAACUCCUCAUUAAGUAAGGUCUGUGCACUGACUGAAGUUUUCUCAUGCUUUCCAGUAUCAGUAUUCCCUCCCCCAUUUCUUUUUGGCCUAAAGAACAUGUUAGGCAUUUAGGCACAGAACAGUGCAGCUGGAAGUCUUGCCUGGUUCCAUAAUGACAAGUUAUUGCAGUCCUUCAUUUCCAAAGUUUAUCUUUCCUCAAGAAUAUUGGCACUGAUAGAAGGAGGAUGUUAUACAGCAAAACAAAAACCAAACUAUGACCCUGUUGUGAAAUGUUUUAACAAAAGUCCUUUAGUCACCAGUACCUGAGAGGAGGGUGUAAUAUUCUGGCUUCAUUUUGUUUUCAACUGAUUACAGAUGGACACAGCUUUCCCUGCAGGAAAUGACCUUGUACCAGUGACAUCAAUGGAAACAUUGCCAUUGACAUUUUUAGGAAUUGGAUCAGAUGCACACUUUGCACCAGUCACGUGAUAGCUGAAGAGCUGAAAUGUUUUCACUGACUCAUGAAGCUGAUGUACAGAAGAAAAUUAGAUGGAUUAUUACUUUGCCACAGGAGUAGAUCACAGACAAGAGAGACGCAAGAAGGGAUUGCUGAGGAGCUCUCCUGAGAACUGCACUCUGCUAUCAGAUCUAGAGAUAGCUCUCCACUCUGUCUUCAAAGGUGUGUUAGUUCUGUUAAUCUUGCAGCUUAGGUUUAAAUAAUUUUUCCAAACUUUUUCAGCCACAUUUAUUGCACUGUACUAAUAGG